rnacentral:rRNA from 1 species
UACGUAGGGUCCGAGCGUUGUCCGGAUUUAUUGGGCGUAAAGAGCUCGUAGGCGGCUCAGUAAGUCAGAUGUGAAAACUCAGGGCUCAACCCGGAGACGCCAUCUGAUACUGCUGUGGCUUGAGUCUGGUAGGGGAUCACGGAAUUCCUGGUGUAGCGGUGAAAUGCGCAGAUAUCAGGAGGAACACCGGUGGCGAAGGCGGGUCUCUGGGCCGUUACUGACGCUGAGGAGCGAAAGCGUGGGGAGCGAACAGG